rnacentral:SRP_RNA from 1 species
ACCGGGCGCGGUGGCGCAUGCCUGUAGUCCCAGCUACUCAGGAGGCUGAGGUGGGAGGAUCACUUGAGCCCAGGAGUUCUGGGCUGUAGUGCACUAUGCCAAUCAGGUGUCCGCACAAAGUUCAGCAUCAAUAUGGUGACCUCCCGGGAGCAAGGGACCACCAAGUUGCCUAAGGAGGGGUGAACCCGCCCAGGUCGGAAACGGAGCAGGUCAAAACUCCCGUGCUGAUCAGUAGUGGGAUCAUGCCUGUGAAUAGCCACUGCACUCCAGCCUGGACAACAUAGCGACACCCNNNNNNN